GGGUGCGAUUAUACCAGCACUAAUGCACUGGAUCCCAUCAGAACUCCGCAUUUAAACGUGCUUGGGCGAGAGUAGUACUAGGAUGGGUGACCUCCUGGGAAGUCCUCGUGUUGCACCCCCAA
rnacentral:rRNA from 1 species